GCUUAUCCAAGAUCACAUAGCUGGAAAGUGGCUGAGAUAAGGGAUUUGAAUCCAGACCAAUUUAACUCAAAAGUCUGUGCUCUGUGCUCUUUCAUCACAUCACUCCAACCCAAAGAAGAUACUAAUGCUUCAAUGACUGCAAGGACAAAAUACCUCCACACACA
rnacentral:lncRNA from 1 species